rnacentral:misc_RNA from 1 species
GCUGAAGAACGUAGCGAACGUGCGAAACGUAAUGUGAAUUGCAGAAUUCAGUGAAUCAUCGAAUCUUUGAACGCAUCUUGCGCUCCUUGGUAUUCCGAGGAGCAUGCCUGUUUGAGUGUCGUGAAUACUCUCGACUUCAACCCUUUUUUCGGAAAGGGAGGAAGGUUGGACUUGGGUGUUUGUUGAAGUGCGAGCUUCGACUCAUCCUAAAUGCAUUAGCGAUCUGCCUCGAUCACACACAAUGUGAUAAUUAAAACUAAAGCAUUGUUUUAUGAUCAAGUCGAGACUGCUUCUAACUGUCGCAAGACAAUAACGUGCAUACAUUUGUGCAUGUCAUUUGACCUCAAAUCAGGUAGGACUACCCGCUGAACUUAAGCAUAUAAUAAGCGGAGGA